AUCUACAGGCAUACCACUCUAAAGGCACCUGAUCUAGUCUGAUCUCAGACGUUAAGUAGGGUCAGGCCUGGUUGGUAACCAGAUGGCAAACCUUCUGGUAAUACUGGAUGCUGUAGGUU
rnacentral:rRNA from 1 species